CACGUAGGGGGCGAGCGUUGUCCGGAUUUAUUGGGCGUAAAGAGCUCGUAGGCGGCUCGGUAAGUCAGGUGUGAAAACUCUAGGCUCAACCUAGAGACGCCACCUGAUACUGCCGUGGCUAGAGUCCGGUAGGGGAGCAUGGAAUUCCUGGUGUAGCGGUGAAAUGCGCAGAUAUCAGGAGGAACACCAGUGGCGAAGGCAGGUCCCUGGGCUGACACUGACGCUCAUGCACGAAAGCGUGGGGAGCAAACAGG
rnacentral:rRNA from 1 species